GCUACUGCCUCAUCGUCAGCAAUGUGAACUUCUGUCCUUCCUCGGGGCUCGGCACACGCACUGGCUCCAGUGUGGACUGUGAGAAGCUUCAGUUCCGCUUCCGCUGGCUGCACUUCAUGGUGGAAGUGCAGAAUGACCUGACUGCCAAGAAAAUGGUCGCGGCUUUGAUGGAGAUGGCAGGGCGGGACCACCGUGCCCUGGACUGCUUUGUGGUGGUCAUCCUCUCUCAUGGCUGCCAGGCCAGCCACCUGCAAUUCUCAG